GCAGCAUCGCCGCCUUUUUGGCUAAGAUCAAGUGUAGUAUCUGUUCUUAUCAGUUUAAUAUCUGAUACCGCCCUACCCGGGACUACAUAUUAAAUUGAUUUUUGAUCACGGAGCUGGAGCCGGGCUUGCUCUGUCCACCUCUUCUAAUGAGCUGAUGAUCUGAAUCAGGUGCGUGUUUGACAGCAA